AGUUAGAAAACAAUGUUGAUGAAAGUAAAUCAAAGCUAAAGCAAAACCUUGGAGUGAUAGAUCCAAAUAGUGUAACUUUUGGGAGCAGUCAAUAUUACAGAUACAUUGGUUCUUUGACCAAACCUCCUUGCUCUGAAGAUGUGACAUGGACCAUUAUUAAGAAGGUUGGGACUGUGGCACACCACCAAGUAGAAAUGUUCAAGAAUGCACAGCCAUAUAGCUCCAUGAAAAAUGCAAGGCCACUACGAGCAACUAAUAGUCGUCCGAUCAAGUUAUACAGCCCAAACUGAUGAUCACGGGCCAAAAUGUUAAGCUCAAUUAUGAUCAUGAAAUAAUAAUCUAUUAAAUGAAGCCCUAUCUUGUAUGACAAAUGUUGGUUAAAUAAAAGUGAUUUCUCUUAUGUUUUCAUUUAA